rnacentral:rRNA from 1 species
UACGUAGGGUGCGAGCGUGUCCGGAAUUACUGGCGUAAAGAGCUCGUAGGUGGUUUGUCGCGUCGUCUGUGAAAUUCCGGGGCUUAACUCCGGCGUGCAGGCGAUACGGGCAAUACUUGAGUGCUGUAGGGGAGACUGGAAUUCCUGGUGUGCGGUGAAAUGCGCAGAUAUCAGGAGGAACACCAAUGGCGAAGGCAGGUCUCUGGGCAGAACUGACGCUGAGGAGCGAAAGCAUGGGUAGCGAACAGGAUUAGAUACCCUGGUAGUCCUGCCGUAAACGGUGGGCGCUAGGUGUAGGGGUCUUCCACGACUUCUGUGCCGUAGCUAAGCAUUAAGCGCCCCGCCUGGGGAGUACGGCCGCAAGGCUAAAACUCAAAGGAAUUGACGGGGCCCGCACAAGCGGCGGAGCAUGUGGAUUAAUUCGAUGCAACGCGAAGAACCUUACCGGGCUUGACAUACACCGGACCGGGCCAGAGAUGGUCUUUCCCUUGUGGCUGGUGUUCAGUGGUGCAUGGUUGUCGUCAGCUCGUGUCGUGAGAUGUUGGGUUAAGUCCCGCAACGAGCCAACCCUUGUCUUAUGUUGCCAGCACGUGAUGGUGGGGACUCAUGAGAGACUGCCGGGGCAACUCGGAGGAAGGUGGGGAUGACGUCAAAUCAUCAUGCCCCUUAUGUCCAGGGCUUCCACAUGCUACAAUGGUCGGUACAACGCGUCGCGACAUCGUAAGGUGGAGCUAAUCGCUGAAGCCGGCCUCAGUUCGGAUUGGGGUCUGCAACUCGACCCCAUGAAGUCGGAGUCGC